AUUGAACGCUGGCGGCAUGCCUUACACAUGCAAGUCGAACGGUAGCGGGCCUUCGGGUGCCGACGAGUGGCGAACGGGUGAGUAAUGUAUCGGAACGUACCUUUCAGGGGGGGAUAACGUAGCGAAAGUUGCGCUAAUACCGCAUAUUCUGUGAGCAGGAAAGCAGGGGAUCGCAAGACCUUGCGCUGAUUGAGCGGCCGAUAUCGGAUUAGCUAGUUGGUGAGGUAAAGGCUCACCAAGGCGACGAUCUGUAGCGGGUCUGAGAGGAUGAUGCGCAAAAAGGAAACUGGGACCCGGUGCAGACUCCUACGGGAGGAAGCAUUGGGGAAUUUUGGACAAUGGGGGCUACCCUGUUCCAGCCAAGCCGCGUGAUUGAAGAAGGCCUUAGGGUUGUAAAGCUCUUUCGGCCUGGAAGAAAUCGUAUCAGCUAAUACCUGGUGCGGAUGACGGUACCGGCAUAAGAAGCACCGGCUAACUACGUGCCAGCCGCCGCAGUAAUAC
rnacentral:rRNA from 1 species